rnacentral:rRNA from 1 species
GCCUUUUGCAUAAUGAGCCUACGAGUUACUCGUCAUUGGCAAGGUUAACCUAUAAUGGGGAGCCGUAGCGAAAGCAAGUCUGAAUAGGGCGAAUAGUCAGUGGCGGUAGACGCGAAACCUGUGUGAUCUACCCAUGGGCAGGUUGAAGGUGUGGUAACACACACUGGAGGACCGAACCGAUAAACGUUGAAAAGUUUCCGGAUGACCUGUGGGUAGGGGUGAAAGGCCAAUCAAACUGGGAGAUAGCUCGUACUCCCCGAAAUGCAUUUAGGUGCAGCCUCGGAAUGUAAGUGUUAUAGAGGUAGAGCUACCGAUUGGACUAGGGGGCUUCACCGCCUACCAAAAUCCUGACGAACUCCGAAUGCUAUAACACAUGUCCGGGAGUGAGGCGCGGGGGUGCUAAGGUCACGCGCCGAAAGGGAAACAACCCAGAUUAUCAGCUAAGGCCUCUAAAAUCUACAUUAAGUUGUUUAAACGAUGUUUGGUUGCUAUGACAGCUAGGAUGUUUGCUUGGAAGCAGCAAUUCAUUUAAAGAGUG